GGAGAAGAAGCCGCGUUCGGGCUCGCCCCGGGCUCCCGGCCCCGGCCCGCGGAGCGCCGCGAUCGGCUGGCAGAUGACGAUUCGCCGAGCUCGCCGCCUGUCCUCCCGGAGGCGCUCGGAGCUGCUGCGGGCUCCGGUCGCCGCUGCCACUGCUGCUGCCGCCGCCGCCGCGCGGGGUCACCUGAAGGUUGGGGCGCGGAAGCUCAACUCCGUGCUGAUUGGGCUCCAAGUUUUCUGCGCCCUCGCCUCGUCCCGAGUGCCCGCGAAUCCCCCGGACGCCCACGCAGACCACCCAGCCACACCACAACUCUGCCUGCGGAGAGAGGAGAGGAGAAAAAGGGGCCGCUUCAAAAACUUUCAAAACUGUGCAGUCGCUUGGCUGGAUCCUCCCACGCAUGAAGAAAGCUGGGGACUGGGGAAUUGCUGGGUGGAUCAUGACACUGAACAGAAGCAGUAACCUGUGCUUACUUCAACCCAGAUUCAGAGGGACAGCGAACUGGUAUGAGGGGCUAGGAGACCUUUAGGCAUGAGCACAUUACUACCUGGAGACCCGUUUAGCCCCUGCCUGUAUUUGCAAAUAGUUUUAUUGGAAAACCUCCAUGCCCAUGGCUUUGUAUUAUCAGUGACUGCAUAUGGCUGUAUGAUCUAGGGCUGCAAGGGCAGAAUUGAGUAGUGAUGACAGAGGUGGCAUAGCCCACAGGGCCUAAAAUAUUUACCAUUUGAAACUUUCCAGGAAAAGUUUGCAUACUGCUCUUAAAUAAGCAAGAGGCCAUUAGCUUGAGGCUGUCUCUGUACGUUGAGUUCCCACCUAACAAUGGAAACCUACAUUAGGCUGUAAUGAACAGGGGGCUACUGGCCAAUCAUGGGCAACCAACUCAUUAUACCAGGCCCCACAAGGCAGCCUGCAUAGCUAUAGCCAAUCAGUUUCUCCACUGUGCUUCUGAGUUUGGCCUAUCAGGCUUUGCUGCUCACACCAUGGGGUGGACCUCACUGGACCUCCUCUGGUUGUGAGUGCUGCCCAAUUCAUGAACCCUUUGCUCGAAUAAACUGUGCUAAAUUUAAUUUGUCUGAUGUUUUUCUUUUAACACUGCUAUGGGCUGAAUGUUUGUGUCUCUACAAAAUUCAUAUGUUGAAACCCAAAUCCCCAAUCUAAUGUGGUGGUAUCUGGAGGUGGGGCCUUUCAUACCUGAUUAGUUCAUGGGGUGGAGGCUUCCUGGUGGAAUUAGUUCCCUCAUAAGAGCAGGCAGCGGGGAAUUUGCCUCCUCUCUCUCUGCUCUGUGCAGUGUAAAGACACAGCACGAGGGCAGCUUUCUGCCAAGCAGGAAGAGGACCCUCACCAGAACCUGACCAUGCUGGCACACUGAUCUUGGGUUUCUU
rnacentral:lncRNA from 1 species